GCGAACGCUGGCGGCAGGCCUAACACAUGCAAGUCGAACGCACCUUUCGGGGUUAGUGGCGGACGGGUGAGUAACACGUGGGAACGUGCCUUUAGGUUCGGAAUAACUCAGGGCAACUUGUGCUAAUACCGAAUGUGCCCUUCGGGGGAAAGAUUUAUCGCCUUUAGAGCGGCCCGCGUCUGAUUAGCUAGUUGGUUGAGGUAAUGGCUCACCAAGGCGACGAUCAGUAGCUGGUCUGAGAGGAUGAUCAGCCACAUUGGGACUGAGACACGGCCCAAACUCCUACGGGAGGCAGCAGUGGGGAAUCUUGCGCAAUGGGCGAAAGCCUGACGCAGCCAUGCCGCGUGAAUGAUGAAGGUCUUAGGAUUGUAAAAUUCUUUCACCGGGGACGAUAAUGACGGUACCCGGAGAAGAAGCCCCGGCUAACUUCGUG
rnacentral:rRNA from 1 species